AAAAAUUGGAUGAUUCUGAGAUUAUAAGCAUCAGAGAAUGGGUAGUUGGUGAUGUCAUAAUAUAAAUGAGAGGUAGAAUAUGUAGUCACGGUAGGCUUGGUUAGAGUCAGUGAGUAGUUUUGAAAAUGGUAAAUUAAAGGCACCAUCUUUGGGACUCCCUGGGGAAAAACGUAAAGAAGGCAGUUGAAGAAAGAUUUUAUAGGACUAAAUCAUUUUGCUACUUUAAAAAAAAUCACGAAAGUACAUUAUUUGAAGUUUGGAGAAGAAAGGGAUUUGGUAACAAAGGACAGCCAUUUCCAUUUUAAGCAGAUAAACUGCAGGAGAGAUUUCUGUAAGAAGGUACCA
rnacentral:lncRNA from 1 species